rnacentral:rRNA from 1 species
GACGAACGCUGGCGGCGUGCCUAACACAUGCAAGUCGAACGGGGUAGCCUCUUCGGAGACUACUUAGUGGCGAACGGGUGAGUAACGCGUGAGGAACCUGCCUCUCAGUGGGGACAACAGUUGGAAACGACUGCUAAUACCGCAUAAUGUAGCGAGAUCGCAUGAUCAUGCUACCAAAGAUUUAUUGCUGAGAGAUGGCCUCGCGUCUGAUUAGAUAGUUGGUGGGGUAACGGCCGACCAAGUCGACGAUCAGUAGCCGGUCUGAGAGGAUGAACGGCCACAUUGGGACUGAGAUACGGCCCAGACUCCUACGGGAGGCAGCAGUGGGGAAUAUUGGGCAAUGGGGGAAACCCUGACCCAGCAACGCCGCGUGAAGGAAGAAGGCCUUCGGGUUGUAAACUUCUUUUACCAGGGACGAACAAAUGACGGUACCUGGAGAAAAAGCAACGGCUAACUACGUGCCAGCAGCCGCGGUAAAAC